CCCUUAGAUGUUCUGGGCUGCACGCGCGCUACACUGAUGCAUCCAACAAGUAUUUUCCCUUGUCCGGUAGGACUGGGUAAUCUUUUUUGAGUAUGCAUCGUGAUGGGGAUAGAUUAUUGCAAUUAUUAAUCUUCAACGAGGAAUUCCUAGUAAGCGCGAGUCAUCAGCUCGCGCUGAUUACGUCCCUGCCCUUUGUACACACCGCCCGUCGCUGCAACUGAUUGGGUGAUCUGGUGAACAUCUUGGACUGACAAGUGCAAUUAUGCACUGGUUGGAAAAGGACGUAAAUCAGGUACAUCUAGAAAUUGCAAAAGUCGUAACA
rnacentral:rRNA from 1 species